rnacentral:rRNA from 1 species
AGUGAACGCUGGCGGCAGGCCUAAUACAUGCAAGUCGAACGGCAGCACAGUGGAGCUUGCUCCAUGGGUGGCGAGUGGCGGACGGGUGAGGAAUACAUGGGAAUCUGCCCAGUCGUGGGGAUAACGUAUGGAAACGUACGCUAAUACCGCAUGCGCCCUUCGGGGGAAAGUCGGGGACCGCAAGGCCUGACGCGAUUGGAUGAGCCCAUGUUCGAUUAGCUAGUUGGCGGGUAACGGCCCACCAAGGCGACGAUCGAUAGCUGGUCUGAGAGGAUGAUCAGCCACACUGGAACUGAGACACGGUCCAGACUCCUACGGGAGGCAGCAGUAGGGAAUAUUGGACAAUGGGGGCAACCCUGAUCCAGCCAUGCCGCGUGAGUGAAGAAGGCCCUCGGGUUGUAAAGCUCUUUGUUGGGGAAGAAAAGCAAGUUGGUUAAUACCCGAUUGUUCUGACGGUACCCAAAGAAUAAGCAACCGGCUAAACUCGUGCCAGCAGCCGCGGUAA